CAGUCGCCGCGGUAAUACAGAGGGUGCAAGCGUUAAUCGGAAUUACUGGGCGUAAAGCGCGCGUAGGUGGUUUGUUAAGUUGGAUGUGAAAGCCCCGGGCUCAACCUGGGAACUGCAUCCAAAACUGGCGAGCUAGAGUACGGUAGAGGGUGGUGGAAUUUCCUGUGUAGCGGUGAAAUGCGUAGAUAUAGGAAGGAACACCAGUGGCGAAGGCGACCACCUGGACUGAUACUGACACUGAGGUGCGAAAGCGUGGGGAGCAAACAGGAUUAGAGACCCCCGUAGUCCCUGUCUCUUAUAC
rnacentral:rRNA from 1 species